rfam:TPA: Bos taurus chromosome 2, whole genome shotgun sequence.
UUCCUGGUGGCUCAGAGGGUAAAGCAUCUGCCUGAAAUGCUGGAGACCCGAGUUUGAUCUCUGGGUCGGGAAG